UCCAUAGUUUAUGCCGUCAAUGUUUUGUUACCAGCCUAAAUGCAAUUUAGCAACUUUUGGUUGAACUUUAACUUGGUUAAUCCGCAUCGAAACAUCUAUAUGCAAACGUAGAUUGCUCAUCAAAAAACAUUACUAUUCUCUUCCGUUCGAUGACGUCUUCAUCUUUUUUGUUUUUUCUGCAAGUUAUUUCCACCUCGCACUAUCCAAAUCCUAAUACAGCCGGCUUUGUUUACGGUGCGUUACCGGAUCGCUGGCGUUGUGCUGUGAUGUGCGACGCAAUCACGGAGUUUUCCACGCCGCGUGUUCUCUUUGAUCGUUGUCGUGAUUGAAUGGCCCUUUUCAACAACAAAAAAGAAAAGAAAAAGAAAGAGGGAACGAGAGUGGGAGGGAUAGACGAUCACGGACGUCCACGACAAGAAGAAAAAGAACGUCGUUCAAGUACAUCGAUGGUCUAGUCAAAUAGCCACCAACAGACAUCCCUUUUCGUGUGUGUGCUUUAUUGGCGUCACCCUCCAUCACAGUAUCUCUUGUCGUCCCACGUACAUUUCUAUCUAACGGUUAUUUUAUGUUGACCACUAGGCUCACUGGCGUAUUUGAAUUCACAGUUUGGAAAGCAAAAGAUAUGAGAAGCGGGAGGCAGGAUCACUCGAAACGAAAUCAUUUUCUACUUAUAUAUUUUCUUCUCGUAUUUUAUUUUAUUUUUUAUUUCUUUUUUAUGGUGUAGGACUUGUGACUUCCCUGUUCAAGUAUAGACGUGUUUUCCGUCUUUUUGGGAGGUCUAUGUUGACGCAUCGGACGCAUAUUGGAUUCUGGUGAAAGAUGAGAACAUCGCACACGAUCUUUAUAUACUUACCAUUUAGGAGAGACAGGAAAGAAUAAAAAAAAAUGGGCCAGUUUUUUUUUUUGUGUGUAACUGUCGCCUUCGAUGUUCUAUUUUCUUGUUCCAAAAUACGACUGAUCUCACCAUGUUUCUUUGCUCAUCCUAAUGAGGAAAAAAGGGUCCGGCUCAACGACAUUAAUACCCCGCGUUGACCAUCAAAAUCCUUACGACCGUUCCAACACAAAUCUUCGAGGAUGAAGUUGGGUUGUUUGUUUGCUUUUAUUUACAGGACCGCUCUCCUAUACAACUCUGGAAGUUUCCCCCCUUUUUUUUUUUCCCCGAAGUUUAUCAGCGUUUUCCUUUACAUCCUCUCUUUUCUUAGUUGUGUGUUAUUUCUCAUCAGACCGGGAAUUUAUAGCGACUUAGUGAGUGGCAGCAUCAGCAUCAGCUGCGAGGAUGAGGGAUAAACAAAAACGAAACAAUGCCUGUUCUUGAUGGGAAUAAUAAUGGAAAAAUCUCUAUCUGGCCAAGCGGGCUUCUUCGACACACCAACGAAGCCUCUGCCCGUCUCAGCUGAUGAUUCAAUCACGCCGAAAAUUGCCUCCUCUGCUUUUUUCCUUUCCCCCUCCCUCUUCUUUCACCCAUAAGACGAAGACAAAAAGAAAGGGAAAGAGAAAGAAAGCUAACACGGCGGGUUGUCAAGCAAAACAAACGAGUCUAGAAUCGAAAAAAAAAAAACAAAAAAUCUUGCAAGUAGCCUAAUAAAGUGCAGUACUUUGUUUCUGGCAGUUAUACCAGGGCCGGGGCCCUGGUGUUAACUUCGUUGAUAAUGUAUGCGAGGGACUUGGUCGAGUAUGUAUAGCUCUAAAGCUAGCUUUUUCUCUCUGUCUCCUAACUUGCUGGGUCGGAGGAGAAGCUACUGAUCCCUGUCUCAGCCUGCCUCUUUAUUACGUGGUCUUAAUUAUCACAGUACGACCAGUGGAAGACGAGAACCACAUUGACAGGACCCAAUCCCGCAGCCACACCAGAGAAACUACACUCCGUAAUUGGCCUGCAAUAAUACUAUCAGCUUUACCCUGGGAUUGUCAGCACCCUUACUCUGUUCAGUCUUUCAUUAAGCGAUCGAUAUCAGCAGCUCACGCUACACACACACAUACAUUAUCUUAUCUCAUUUUUUUAAAGAAUUCAAGUGGCACUAAAGAUUUGCAGAAAAGGCACGAAAUCGGCAAUCCCACCCCAUCUUUGAAUUUAUUUUUAUUUUUUUAAAUCUUUCCCAACUUUUGUUACUUCAGCUUUUGUGUUUCAGCCACCAGCUUUUCGCCAACAUUGGCUUAUCACAGGGCGUAAAGAUGACGUGGGCUGAAAAUCAAACGUGUGCCAAUAUCGAUGGGAUUUAGAGGCAAGGCGACAAGGAACUAGAGAAGAGAAAGAAAAGCAAUCGAUGCAACCACUCUCUAGAGUUGGAUCCACUUGAAUUGUAUGGAGCCAAGGUUACCAAUACUAUCGUAUUGACUGCAGCCAUCGCCAGUUCUGAAAACUAGUUCUAGUUCACGAUUGGUCUUGCUGAUGAUGUGUGCAGUAAUCCGAUAAAAGAUAUCGGCUAUCGAGUGUUUUAAACUCGGCCAUUCUUUUCUCACACUGUAUACGCACAACUGGAUAGUCUUAAGAACGAAGUAAGCGCCAACUUUUGAAAUUGCUGGGAACCACAGUUGGAUAAAUGGGCCAUAACUCGCCCUCGCUGUUGUAUUGAAGAGGUUUCUUUUGUGUUUCCAUGCCGAUUGCGCCGCACAUCGUCGCCGAUGUAUACACAUCUACGACUUACUAAGAGCGAUAAAGAAAUUGAAGCAUUUUCUAGCUUCUUCCCCCCGUUUGCCUACUUUUUUGCGCCACCCAACUGACGGCAAUUCCCGCGUGAUGUAUGGCUGAGGUUAAAGGAUGAGGGGGGACAAAGAACUGCUGCUCCCGUCCAUGAAAGCAAGAGUGAAUAAAGGGUUGAGCUCGGGCGGGGUUCGUGAAUCGCACCCCACGGAAUAGUCGAUUGCCCGGGUGGCAGUCGCUGUUUUUUGUUUGCCCUUUCUUUACUCUGUAUGUGCUGUGUAUAGGACAACCCACUAGGCCAAACCUUCUUCCCUCCUUCCGAUAACCGAGACCAGAAACCCUUUCCCAACCAAAAAGCACUUUACUGCAUAAGGGGACCUCGUAGUUGUUUGAACGACGACAAGGCGUCUCGACGCCAUCUCCUGCUGUCUCCCGCCGUUGAAUUUUGAAAUCUUGGAACGCACUCAUCACUUGUCCGUCAGCGAUGUCUGUCUUUCACGCUCCAUUUCUCUAGUGCAGUCAGUGCGCGCGCGCGGGAUUCUCCCUUCAGUUCAUCGUGACAGAAGAGAAAGAACGGGGAAAGAAAAAUACACACACACACACAAAAGCAAACAAAAGCGUGCAGCUCAGGAAGGCUGACCUAGUGUUGGGGGUAAAGGAACGACUACCUUUAGUAAGUCGGCUCGACCCGAACGAAGCGACGGCUUCACGAGUUCGAUCCGCGUUCAUUGAUGCGACAUGGUUGCUCGACGCAAUCAUCGGUUCUUUUCCCCCUACAACAGACGAGUGAAAGCUUUUCAAUCCGGUGCUUUUUGACAGCGAUCUGGAACUUUGUUGAAACCUUAUUUCCCUAGUCGAAACGCUUUUUUAGAAGGUAUUUUCUUCGGGCCGCUCCUCGAAGAUCAUUUCGUCAGCCGGAAAAGACGUCAACGAUUCCUGCCGGCUGCCGUCGGAUCUUUGAAAGCAGAGGAUCCGGGACCAGUGGACGUGUGGAAAUGGCCACCUUUUGACUUGCACAACUAAAUCCCAAUCGUUUAAUUUGUUAUCAUCUUACUCUCGGUUUUUUUUUUGCGCGCGCGUAUUAUUUCAUUAUCUGAGAUUAGUGUCGUCACAAUUGACUUUUUUUAAUUCGCUGCUCCCGGUCGCGACAUUGCGCACGAUCGAUAUUUGAUUCACGUGAAAGACAUUUUGACCAGAAAAGGGAAGAAGAAAAAAAAAGAGCAGAAGAAACUUUUACAAACAUUUGUUGACCUUUCGAACAAAGAAGCAAAGGGAAAGUGAAGUCCAAGUUAAAAAAAAAAGAAACAAAAUAUAUAGCAAUCUCGUUUUGCAUACUUGCCUGAAGCGACGAAAUCUAUGGAUCGGUUCGUUUACUCGUCUACUACUUCGU
rnacentral:lncRNA from 1 species